ensembl:lncRNA
CUCUCGCCACCCUCCUGUCCAAUUAGCUCCGACUAGCAAAAGUUUGGGUUGUUCCUGAGGGCAUGUAUGGUCUAGGCUGAGUGAAGACUAUCUAGGUCAACACAGUGGUUUCUGUUUCUGUUGUCUUCUAAAAUCUCCCACAUUUGUGUUUCAAGCAUGUCCUGAUUUUCUUCUUUUACACGCUGGUCUUUACUCUUUAACCCGCGUUUAACAACCAGACAGCACAUUGUUUAUGACGGGGAAGAUAAGGGAAGAACACUGCAGGACUAUAAAAAAAAAGGGGGGGAUGACACAAUAUACAACAUAUCAUGCCAACGUGGGUUAUUAGUAGGAGGCACUGCCAUUUGGACCUGCACGUACUGGACUACAUUUGUUGUGGAAGAAGCAGAAAGGCUCAGGACGUGCACGUGUAGAUAUGUGAAGAGACUGUCAUCAUGGCAACCCACUGCCCAGCGCGCGCCUUGCUCAUGCUUGUUGGAUUUCUUACCUUUUUGGUUGCGUUUACACUGAACACUCUGGCGGGAUACGGCGCUAACUCAGGUGUCUUCAAUCAGGCGACGGAGGAUGUGACACUCAAGUACACAACACCCAUAACUCCUGCUGCGUGGGCCCUGUUUGUCUGGGAUUUCAUUUACAUCUGGGUCUUUGCCAUGUUCAUAUACCUUUUAGUGGGACUCUGCAGAAGGAGCGCUUACGACUGGCUGUACACCACCCCGGCAGUGCUACCCUAUGGAUUUCACGUCUCCAUCAUCGCCAACGUCUGUUUGAAUAUCACAUGGUUGUUUCUGUAUGACAGAGAGUUGCUGCUGCCAGGGCUGAUAACCUCAGCGCUUAUGACGAUCACCGAUUACAUGGUCCUGUUUUUCUCCUGUCAUGGACUGAAGAUCUAUGGAGCCUGGUUGCACAAAUAUCAAAACACGGACCUUUGGCUCAUCAGAAUAUUGGUGCAAAAUGGAGUAGCAGUAUAUGCAACAUGGGGGACUCUCUUCACUCUGCUGAACCUGACGACAUACAUACAGCACCUGGCGGAGGUAUCUAAAUGUGACUGUGCAAAGCUGUCACUUAUGCUGCUGCUGAUGAAGUUGUUAGGCUGGUUUCUGUUGGAGAACUUCCACCUCGACAAGCACGUGCGCUACAUCGUGACCGUCUACCCUGUGGUGAUGCUGUGGAUGUCAGGCGUACUGAGCAACUCCAGCUCUCAUGGAAGUACUGUUUACAUCUUCUCAGCUUCUAUCAUGGUUAUUACCACGUGUCUGUUUGUGGCACGCAUCGCCCUGGUCACCUGGAGGCAUUACAAACAACCGCUUUACAACGACACUGGACCCAGUAUGUCGCCUGUAGAAAUAGCACUGACACAAGGAAAACUCUGUUUAUGAACGUGAGCUCGGAGCUUAACUCAUCAUUUUUGCGUUGUUGUUUGUAUGUUUGUUUUUUUCCCCGAGUGGAAAUCUCAGUCUGUAGAUUUGUAAAUUGCCACGUGGGACAGAAAUACUCAAAAAUAUGAAAAUUUAAAUCAAAGAAUGUACAGAUGAUUUCACCAAUUAAAGAAAAAAAUUUAAACAUUGGAUGUAAUUGUAUUAUAUGUAACACUUAUGUAUGUAUGUAUGAAUGUUAUUUCACUUUCAAAGAAAUAAAUUACACUGAACAAAUGGUGGGUUGAAAAUAAUUUAAAUGUCCAGUGUGAAGGAUUUUGUGGCAAACCGUAUUGGAAAAAAAUUUUAAUAAAAAAUGCAGACCACCCCCAAGCAGGUAAGAUUACAUGUUUUGGUUUGUCCAUUUUGGGCUUCCUUAAAAACAUGGCGGUGCAACAUGGCAGACUCUGAGGAAGACAACCAGAGGUAAUGAAAACACAACAAUUGUUAGUUUCAGGUGAUUAUAUACUAAUAAAAACAUGAUUAUGAACAUUAUAUUUAAUUUGUGCCCACAUAUCCCUAUAAAUCCCAAACACUGGACCUUAAAUGCUAAUAAAAUAGAAUAAAUCGAUUUACCCAAACAUUAAAAAGUCUUUGAAAUAAACAUUUAUUACACUGGAAACGUAGCUGAAACUGUACUUUCAGUAUAACCAGUUAAUCUGUCAUGACAACAAUAAAAAAGGCCCAUCACAGUAUCUCA